rnacentral:rRNA from 1 species
GGUAACGGAGGCGCCCAAAGGUUCCCUCAGAAUGGUUGGAAAUCAUUCGCAGAGUGUAAAGGCACAAGGGAGCUUGACUGCGAGACCUACAAGUCGAGCAGGGACGAAAGUCGGGCUUAGUGAUCCGGUGGUUCCGCAUGGAAGGGCCAUCGCUCAACGGAUAAAAGCUACCCCGGGGAUAACAGGCUUAUCUCCCCCAAGAGUCCACAUCGACGGGGAGGUUUGGCACCUCGAUGUCGGCUCAUCGCAU